GAGUUUGAUCCUGGCUCAGGAUGAACGCUGGCGGCGUGCCUAACACGUGCAAGUCGAACGAAGCGCCUUUUAAGAUUCUUCGGAUGAUUGAUUGGUGACUGAGUGGCGGACGGGUGAGUAACGCGUGGGUAACCUGCCCUGUACAGGGGGAUAACAGCUGGAAACGGCUGCUAAUACCGCAUAAGCGCACGAGGAGACAUCUCCUUGUGUGAAAAACUCCGGUGGUACAGGAUGGGCCCGCGUCUGAUUAGCUGGUUGGCAGGGUAACGGCCUACCAAGGCAACGAUCAGUAGCCGGUCUGAGAGGAUGAACGGCCACACUGGAACUGAGACACGGCCCAGACUCCUACGGGAGGCAGCAGUGGGGGAUAUUGCACAAUGGGGGAAACCCUGAUGCAGCGACGCCGCGUGGAGGAAGAAGGUUUUCGGAUUGUAAACUCCUGUCGUUAGGGACGAUAAUGACGGUACCUAACAAGAAAGCACCGGCUAACUACGUGCCAGCCGCCGCGGUAAUUC
rnacentral:rRNA from 1 species